rnacentral:rRNA from 1 species
GACGAACGCUGGCGGCGUGCUUAACACAUGCCAGUCGAACGGAAAGGCCCUGCUUUUGUGGGGUGCUCGAGUGGCGAACGGGUGAGUAACACGUGAGUAACCUGCCCUUGACUUUGGGAUAACUUCAGGAAACUGGGGCUAAUACCGGAUAGGAGCUCCUGCUGCAUGGUGGGGGUUGGAAAGUUUCGGCGGUUGGGGAUGGACUCGCGGCUUAUCAGCUUGUUGGUGGGGUAGUGUCUUACCAAGGCUUUGACGGGUAGCCGGCCUGAGAGGGUGACCGGCCGCAUUGGGACUGGGAUACGGCCCAGACUCCUACGGGAGGCAGCGGUGGAGAAUAUUGCACAAUGGGCGGAAGCCUGAUGCAGCAACGCCGCGUGCGGGAUGACGGCCUUCGGGUUGUAAACCGCUUUCGCCUGUGACGAAGCGUGAGUGACGGUAAUGGGUAAAGAAGCACCGGCUAACUACGUG